GGGCAAUGAGUUAAUUAUUUAACUCUUGCUAAUAGCCUUGAAAGAUAUAAGAAUAAUGCAAUGGGAUGGUGGGACGAGUCACACACCAAGAAGCAGCUUGGAAAUGGAUGUGACUUACUCUUAUUAACGAUGCUAAGAAAGAUACUGAGAAAUUAGUAACAAUGAAUUAGAAGUCAUCCACAAACAAAAGUACCUUUGUGGGAGUUGUAGUAUCCAGCACCAAAUGCCAAGAGACCAGGAGGAAUCUGCCCACCUGUGAACCAGUAACAGGCAAACAGACUUCAGUAUGGGCUACAAAGCCAGCAGGAUCAGUGUGAGCCUGCCCCAACCCAUCUUGGUCAGGGUUGAGCAAAGGCUAGAGAUGAUUUGAGCAGCCACCCAUGAAUGAGAGAGACUUUGCAGAAGGUCGCACUUCCUGAGAGAGGAUUCCAGCACACAAUUGGAGCUGAAGAAAAAUACGAAUUUGUUUACAGUGAAGACAAUGAAAGGAGAUUUCUCAGCACCACCUUUCCCAAGGCAACACUGCAGAAGUUAAACAAUUCGUCGUGGCAAACUCUCCUGCAGGGGAAAAAGAACAGUCACUGAGUACCCAGGAUACCACAGUUGUGCUAGAUGCAUUCAGAAACCUCUUUAUCCCUAGAAGUACCUAGACUACUGAACAAGUAAUCCAUGACUGGAGAGAGAGAGGAGAUCAGGAAAGGGAUCAAAAAAACAUAUAUCAAAGGUAUUAAUGAAGUAUAGUUCCCUAUUUCAGCAGGAAGUCCACCAAUGAGCCACUAAGAGUACCACAAC
rnacentral:lncRNA from 1 species